GAUGAACGCUAGCGGCAGGCCUAAUACAUGCAAGUCGAACGAGAUUCAAGACUUCGGUUUUGAUGAAAGUGGCGCACGGGUGCGUAACGCGUAUGCAACCUACCCUUAACAGGGGGAUAGCCCGGAGAAAUUCGGAUUAAUACCCCAUAGUAUCACAAGAUGGCAUCUGAAAGUGAUUAAAGAUUUAUCGGUUAAGGAUGGGCAUGCGUAACAUUAGAUAGUUGGUGAGGUAACGGCUCACCAAGUCUACGAUGUUUAGGGGUUCUGAGAGGAUGAUCCCCCACACUGGUACUGAGAUACGGACCAGACUCCUACGGGAGGCAGCAGUAGGGAAUAUUGGUCAAUGGGCGAGAGCCUGAACCAGCCAUGCCGCGUGCAGGAAGACGGCCUUCUGGGUUGUAAACUGCUUUUAUAUGGGAAGAAAAAGGCCAUGCGUGGCAAAUUGCCGGUACCAUAUGAAUAAGCACCGGCUAACUCCG
rnacentral:rRNA from 1 species